rnacentral:rRNA from 1 species
CGCGUGAGGGAAGAAGGUUUUCGGAUUGUAAACCUCUGUUCUUAGUGACGAUUGACGGUAGCUAAGGAGAAAGCUCCGGCUAACUACGUGCCAGCAGCCGCGGUAAUACGUAGGGAGCGAGCGUUGUCCGGAUUUACUGGGUGUAAAGGGUGCGUAGGCGGCGAGGCAAGUCAGGCGUGAAAUCUAUGGGCUUAACCCAUAAACUGCGCUUGAAACUGUCUUGCUUGAGUGAAGUAGAGGUAGGCGGAAUUCCCGGUGUAGCGGUGAAAUGCGUAGAGAUCGGGAGGAA